GUCCUCGUAGGUCACGGAAGUCCGCCCCGCAGGGAUGGAAAACUCGGGGAUCACCAACUCGGGGAUCGCAUUACUGGGAUGCGGCGGUUCGACUCCGCCCGAGGAUA